CAAUAUUCUACUUUAUCAACUUCUACUUUACCGACUCUAAAAAUUCUUCGUUCGAUCUCACUGUGGCACGGUUGUUCUCAUAUAUGAGACGGGUUGAUAGGAUAAAGUCACAAGUCUUGUUUUCGAUGUUUACCUUUCUGAGCACGCAAUUCACAUCGUAUUGAAAUGCAAAACACUUUAAAUCCAUCUGUUUUGAACAGUAGUGUGAUUCAAUGUGCUAUACACUUGAAUAUAUAGUGAAUGAUUUUCAACAUUUCAAAGUUUGAAACACCAGAAAUUAACGUGUAUAACACAUUGAACCAAGAUGAAAUACACUUAAAGUAAAUGUGAUUGUGCAUUUAAAAAAUCAAGUGUUUAAACACUUCGAACAAACGUGUGCAAUUUUUUGAGUGUAG